AAAGACGACAAGGAAAAAAAUCUCAAUCGUCCUCCUGGUCCUGAGACUCAACAUGUAUUUUGAAAACGAGUAGCAGAGAGUGUGUCAGCUGCUUUCAACAACCCUGAGUCCAGAACAGCAACAUGUCAGAUGAUAUCAUGGAAGUUCUAGUCACCUAGAACUUUAUAAAUUAGAAUAGAGAAACUUGAAUUGCACAUAUAAAAGAGACAAAGUCUUACUAUGUUGCCCAGACUGGUCUCAAACUCCUGGCCUCAAGCAAUCCUGCUGCCUCAGCCACCCAAAGUGCUGGGACUACAGACUUGAGAGCUCCACCACGCUUAACUGGAGCUUUGGACAAGUUGCUUAACCCUUCGGUGCCUCAAAUUUUUAAUCCAUAUAAUGGGAAUGAUACAGCCUGAGCCACGAUGUAAGAAGUCUGACCUUCCUUCCAGAGAGACCACAUGAAGAGGCUCAAAAUCUCCAUGAAGGACAGGGACCCACUGGAGCCCAGCCUCCCAGCUAUCCCUGCCAAGGUGGUAGGUGUAAGAGUGAAGCCAUCUUGAAACCUCCAUCCUUGAACAUCCCACCCAGCCGAGCCUGUCUGAAUUCCUGAUGCACAAAAUUGUGAAAUCUAAUG